rnacentral:tRNA from 1 species
GUCUCUGUAGCUUAAACGUUUUAAAGCAUUG